CUUUUUCAGUGCUAUAGCCCGGGAGCUGGUGCAGAGGCAAAGCGCAUGCUGCUGGAUAAAUUUUUAGAUGUGGAAUUUCUGGAUCUAAUGGUCACCAAUUGUUUCUGCAUCAUUUAUUGAAUAAUCCAGCCUUCUUCCACUGAUUUGAAGUGGCAACAACUGUUCUCUUGUUAGGUAGGGUGUAACUUUCCACAGGAGGAGAUGGAAGAUUUGAGCGAGCCAGUGGAAGACAGGAAAGAGGGCUUCCCUCCCAGGGCAUAUUUGCCACCUAGUGACCAUAUUGAAUGGUGAUAUUUGUGCUUCUCAUCUCAGCCUGGUGGCCUGACCUUGACUCCUGAAUUCUGUGAUCCCUCCACAACUGCAAGUCAUUCUCAUACAAAAUUUUGAGUUUACCUAGUUGACAUCUUUUAGAGUUUUGGAACAAUAUGCAAGUUCAAGUCAACAUCAUGUUGUCUUGCUGACUAGCUCUUGUGAUGAGAUCAACAUUUUUGUUGGUUGCUUCUAUCCUUGUUCUUCUGUCUGUUGCUCCCUCUUCAGCUGUCAAUCACACACGUGUAGUCAUGCAAAAGCUGUUUUGUUUUUAUUUGUCAUGUGAAUGUUGUCAUUUGCUUCUCAUAUAUUACAAAUUAGUGCUAUGUACCACUCAGUGAUAUAAAACAGUUAAUAAUUGUAAAUUUGCAUAUGUUUGGGUAAGAAUAGCAUCCAACCAAAAAAGCAAAAAUGUAGAUGAUAGAAAUAAAUGCAAGACAAGUGAAGAGGGCAAGAAAGGUUAUGUCUAUUGCAAAAAAAAUGAGAGUUGUUGAAAUGCUUGAUAACAAUGGAGCCAAGACCUCUAGGGUGGGUUUUUAUGUUAAUGAAUCUAUAAUUCAUACUACGAAGAAAAAUGAGAAAGCUAAUAGGGCUAGUGAGUUGAGGGACACACGGGAAUAAUUAUGAAAAUCACACAUAACUUGAAAUGUCAAAAUAGAGAAAAUGUGAAGAGAUUUGUAUUUGUGGAUUCUAAAAUAGGAAGGUUAAAUAAUUCUCUUUCUAUGUAUAUAAUCUGCCAGCAAGCAUCCCCAAAAUAUGCAAGUUUAAAUUUCAAUAUAGAUGAAAAAUUAUAACAUUUAUCACAAGUAAUGGGUGGUUGAGUAAGUUUAAGAAAUGCUAUGUCUGUAUGAUAAAGAAAGUGGCUGGCAAAGGAAGGAGAUCAUGAAGCUUCUACAGAGUAUCCUGAAUACCUGGAGAAACUGAUGGAAGAAAAUGGCUAUUUGCUGGAACAGGUAUUCAAAGCUGAUGAAAUGGUCCUGUUCUGGAAGUACAUGCCUACUUGCACAUCUGUUGCAAAAGAUGAGAAAAAGACCAGCAGUUUCAAGACUGGAAAAGACAAACUCAAAGAUAUGCUUUGUUCCAAUGUUUGUGGUGACUCUAUUAAACCCAUGUUGCUUCACAGAUUUCAAAACCUGUAUCCUCUUAUAAAAGAAUGUAAGAAACACUUUUCUGUCUA